rnacentral:tRNA from 1 species
GACGGCCCCGGACGCGGGCGUCCCCCCGGCCCUGGUGGGGCCGGGGGGACGCCGGGGGAGACGCGGGGGCGGUUCAGCCGCCGUAGCCGCCG